AUCGCGUGACGUCAUUUAUGGACGGCCCCUAAACAAAAACAAUGAAUUAAGACUCCUUUCAGGACAAUAAUAUAGUGUGGGUUAUUGAGGUUUCUUUACCCAGGAUAUCCCAUAUAUGUCUAUCACAGUGCGGAGUGGCAUAACCUGCAUAAUCUAUGCGAUCUUUCUGUCGCGAGGCUUAAGGAGUAUUUAUCAAAAGUCUUGCUGAAUUCACAAAGACGAUGUACGAGGUAUUACUUGGGUCUUUCGGUAAAGUCACGUCGAUAGAUUCAAAGAAAAUAACAAAAAACUACGACGUUUAUUUUCUUCCUUAUGAUGACUGCUUGCGUUGCGAUCGAAACGUCGUAGUUUAUAUUGUUUGUUAUAUUCUUUGAACCUAUCUACGUGACUUUACCGGAAGACCCAAAGAAUAUGAAUUCCUGCAGUCACGAAAGCUUUUAAGUCAAGAUUUAAUGUACGAGGCGUUUCGUUGGUUUUAGAAAAGUCUCAGUUUGCCAGUCGGGUACGUUAAAAUGUUGAACAAAUUUACGCAUUUCUAAAGAACGUCAUGUUGAGCAAGUGCUGCGUUUGCAGUUUAUUCAAAUACACACCGACGACCCGUCCGUGAAGUUCCAAGCGGUUGUGUUUUAACAUCUGUGAGAGUCAGAAAACACCGACACUGGGGGAGGGAUGAUGCACUGUGACGUGCGAAAAGCCACUCUGGUGUGGUCCCUGCCGCCUCUUCCUGUGCACCAUUACUCAGCACAUUCUCGCGCUCGCUAUAUUAUCAAUGCCCACGCAAACGACAGCGCACACGAAACGCGAUCCGAAGAGCGCGCAGACACAAUAAACGCAGUGCGCGAGACCAGGACCCGUUUCAGAUGGUGUGACUAAUCAUUAACGCCUGCAGCUAUGUGGCAGGCAAGAUCCGCUCGCUGUGCUGCGAAAGCAAGCACAGCACACCAGCUGAUCCCACGCCAAAACAGACACAAGCUGCAGGCGGAUGCAGACGGCCGCGAGUGACCCAGCCCUGCCCAUCCAACGAACAUCUCCCACAGCCCACGGACGAGCGCAGAGGAUGAUAUUAGUGGAAGCGCUGAUGGAGCAAAUCACAGCCCUUCAGCGCCCUUCCUCUCAUUUCCCGAUUGCCCCCCCCAAACCCCAACACGCCAACGCAGCCGUUAAAUCAGCAGACUCUCCACGCAAAUUCGAGGCGUAACCAGGAUUUAACUUUAGCCGGAUCCGUCCGCAUCAUUGCCCCUAAAUUAUUUCCACACUCGGCACACACCAUCCGUGACAUAACCCUCGAUAUGGCUGUGAUAACUGGUCGCGUGCCGCCUCACCCCCUACGCCAGUCUACCAGCGACCCGGGGGAUAUUUAGCGAGAGAUUAAGCCCAGGGCAUAAUGAUCAACAUCCCCCCCCCCCCCACCACUCGAUGAAUUGUCGUGAUUUCGGGUGGCGAUUCAAAAAUGGAUUGUCAACAUUGUGGUAAUCUUAGGUCACGUGAACCCGUUACAUACAACAUUCCAAUGCACGCUACUUGACGUGUGUGUCGCAAACCUUAAUGAUCUCUAUUAAAUAAUUGAGAGGUCAAUACACCCCCCCCCCCCAGCACAAACCUACACAUCGGUGUUACGUUUUUCAUGUGCCUGAAUGAAUGCUGUACUCGGGCGGGGGUGGUGGUUUAUCGUGUUUUCGUAGCUAGUGGCUUUCCUCUGCUAGACCACGUGUAGUGACGUUGGUGAUGAGCUUAUGAAGUCAGCAACAUUAACUCCCCCCUCUGUGGGAGGUGAACCUGUCCGAUGUCUUCUCAUUAAGAGUUGAGCAUCAGCUAUGCAAAUGCUUUCCACUGCAAAGUUACCAUUGUACUCUCAAGGUCAUGCCACAACGAUGCCAACGAUAGCGCUUAACAACGGACAAAUUAUGUCAUCCUAAAUGACCACUGAACAACAACGCUGCACACAAUGGGGGCCACGACGUGUCUGGCAAAGGGCAUCGUUGUACUGUACUAUGCGUGCACGUCUAUGCGUCCCACUUGCAACAGCGUUGGUGAAGUAUGGUCAAAUAACCCCCCCCCCGCCCCCAAGACUUGCACGGCGAGGGGAGGCCCUCAACCAGCAAUGGAUUGACAAAGGGCUAUCCACAAGAACACCGACAUCAGAAAGUCACAAGAGAGAGCAAUUGUACGCUUAAAGCAGGAUCUCAAUACCGCAUUUUUUUAACUGAUGCUCGACAAAACUGACUUAGCACACUCCCUAGCAGCAGAAAGUGUUUUUUUUUAUAGUUAAGCUAGUGUUUGACACUUUGUACUCCUCACAGAAAGCCGUUUUCGCGUGUUAUUCACCUCUUGCAAUCUAAAGAAAACUCGCUUAAAACUAUUAAUUCACCUUAGAACACUUUAAAGUGGUUCGUCGUCGAUUUACAGAUUCCGCCGUCACUGUUUACAGUAUGCAACAACAAAAACGAGGCAAGGGUGGUACAGCAGCUCGGACGAACACGCUGCUGAAAUGUGAACACUUUUUACUGCACAAACACUUUGUACUGCAAGAGCAACCGGUGGCUUGGAAUUAAACGAAUACCGCAUUACCACGA